GUAGAGCAUUAAAAAUGGGCCGAAAAACUAUAAUCGGCAACAAACACCGUCUUCCUCUUCUUCCAAACCCGAACUCCCACCUUCUGUUAGAGAUCACGAACGUAACGACUCGCCGCAACAUAAAACCAUGUAAUUAAGCUUCUCCAUUAAUUUCUAUACACACCCAUUCUUCUACGUUACAUUUAAUUUCCUUUUUUUCCACCUAAAAACUUCAGAGACAUCUACACUAUAAAUAAUGAGGACGCCAUGAUCAAUCUCUUCAAUGCAAAUAACCUGCAACCUUUCGUGACCUCUCAUCUCCUCUCCUGCUGUUAGAUUUAAAGUCUGGUUGUUCUCCGCUGGCGGUGGUCAUGCUCCUGAUUAAUGAAAAGUUUAAGUUAUUUGCAUUCAGAUAGAUUUGUUCAUUGCUAUAUGAAAACAGAGUACAUGCUUUUGGAUUAGCAGAAGAAUCUAAGAAUUGCUGAUUUUGGAGUGGCUAGAGUUACUUAGAAUCCAAAGGACAUGGUUGGAGAAACUGGUACUCUUGGAUACAUGGCCCCGUAGAACCUGAGACCGGUAAUACUGAGAUGUUGUCCAACAUCAUUAUCGAGCAUAUGAAGAAAUGUUAGGAAGCAAAUCCGGAGAAGCGGCCGUAGAUGGAGGAAGUCGUUAAGAUGCUUUAACGAGUUGGAUGAUUCCGGAAGAUCAAAGAACUGGCUGUUACUGCUUUGUCGCUGGCCGUGGUCCUUGAAUUUACAUUCUUUACCCAUUCCUAACAUCUUAUUAUUAUUAUUAUAUACAUUUCUGCAUUUUGGAUCAUUGCUCUGUUAUUUUCCCAUAUAAUAUGUCUAUAUAAAAAGGUUUUUGUUAUUAUAUAAUUUUUGU